rnacentral:rRNA from 1 species
CCUACGGGUGGCAGCAGUGGGGAAUAUUGGGCAAUGGGCGCAAGCCUGACCCAGCAACGCCGCGUGAAGGAAGAAGGCUUUCGGGUUGUAAACUUCUUUUCUCAGGGACGAAGCAAGUGACGGUACCUGAGGAAUAAGCCACGGCUAACUACGUGCCAGCAGCCGCGGUAAUACGUAGGUGGCAAGCGUUAUCCGGAUUUACUGGGUGAAAGGGGGGUGUAGGCGGAAAAGCAAGUCAGAUGUGAAAGCCAUGGGUCCAACCGGUGGCCUGCAUUGAAAACUGUUUUUCUUGGUGAGGGGGAGGCAGGCGGAAAUCCUAGUGUAGCGGUGAAAUG